UACGUAGGUGACAAGCGUUGUCCGGAUUUACUGGGCGUAAAGAGCGCGCAGGCGGUCGAUCAAGUCGAGUGUGAAAGCCCCCGGCUCAACUGGGGAGGGUCAUUCGAAACUGGUCGACUCGAAGGCAGGAGAGGUAGUGGAAUUCCCGGUGUAGUGGUGAAAUGCGUAGAUAUCGGGAGGAACACCAGUGGCGAAGGCGACUACCUGGCCUGUUCUUGACGCUGAGGCGCGAAAGCUAGGGGAGCAAACGGGG
rnacentral:rRNA from 1 species